rnacentral:rRNA from 1 species
GACGAACGCUGGCGGCGUGCUUAACACAUGCAAGUCGAACGGUGAAGCGCUUUCCUUUUUGGUUGGUGUGGAUGAGUGGCGAACGGGUGAGUAACACGUGAGUAACCUGCCCCCUUCUUCUGGAUAACCGCAUGAAAGUGUGGCUAAUACGGGAUAUUCUGCGCCUGCUGCAUGGUGGGUGUGGGAAAGAUUGUGCCUUUGGGUGUUUUCGGUGGGGGAUGGGCUCGCGGCCUAUCAGCUUGUUGGUGGGGUGAUGGCCUACCAAGGCGGUGACGGGUAGCCGGCCUGAGAGGGUGGACGGUCACACUGGGACUGAGACACGGCCCAGACUCCUACGGGAGGCAGCAGUGGGGAAUAUUGCACAAUGGGCGCAAGCCUGAUGCAGCGACGCCGCGUGAGGGAUGGAGGCCUUCGGGUUGUGAACCUCUUUCGCCAGUGAAGCAGGCCUGCUCCUUGUGGGUGGGUUGACAGUAGCUGGAUAAGAAGCGCCGGCUAACUACGUG